UACGAAGGGGGCUAGCGUUGCUCGGAAUCACUGGGCGUAAAGGGUGCGUAGGCGGGUCUUUUAAGUCAGGGGUGAAAUCCUGGAGCUCAACUCCAGAACUGCCUUUGAUACUGAAGAUCUUGAGUUCGGGAGAGGUGAGUGGAACUGCGAGUGUAGAGGUGAAAUUCGUAGAUAUUCGCAAGAACACCAGUGGCGAAGGCGGCUCACUGGCCCGGAACUGACGCUGAGACGCGAAAGCGUGGGGAGCAAACAGG
rnacentral:rRNA from 1 species